rnacentral:rRNA from 1 species
AUGCAGUCGAGGGGUAACAGAGAGAAGCUUGCUUCUUUGCUGACGACCGGCGCACGGGUGCGUAGCGCGUAUAGAAUCUGCCUUUUGCUGGGGUAUAGCCUUUAGAAAUGAAGAUUAACACCCCAUAGUAUUAUUAAUUGGCAUCAAUUAGUAAUUAAAGGUUACGGCAAAAGAUGACUAUGCGUCCUAUUAGCUAGAUGGUAAGGUAACGGCUUACCAUGGCAACGAUAGGUAGGGGCCCUGAGAGGGGGAUCCCCCACACUGGUACUGAGACACGGACCAGACUCCUACGGGAGGCAGCAGUGAGGAAUAUUGGACAAUGGAGGCAACUCUGAUCCAGCCAUGCCGCGUGCAGGAAGACUGCCCUAUGGGUUGUAAACUGCUUUUGUACAGGAAGAAACACUCUCACGUGUGAGAGCUUGACGGUACUGUAAGAAUAAGGAUCGGCUAACUCCGUGCCAGCAGCCGCGGUAAUACGGAGGAUCCAAGCGUUAUCCGGAAUCAUUGGGUUUAAAGGGUCCGUAGGUGGAUAAUUAAGUCAGAGGUGAAAUCCUGCAGCUCAACUGUAGAAUUGCCUUUGAUACUGGUUAUCUUGAAUUAUUAUGAAGUAGUUAGAAUAUGUAGUGUAGCGGUGAAAUGCAUAGAUAUUACAUAGAAUACCAAUUGCGAAGGCAGAUUACUAAUAAUAUAUUGACACUGAUGGACGAAAGCGUGGGUAGCGAACGGGAUUAGAUACCCCGGUAGUCCACGCCGUAAACGAUGGAUACUAGCUGUUCGGAUUUAUCUGAGUGGCUAAGCGAAAGUGAUAAGUAUCCCACCUGGGGAGUACGUUCACAAGAAUGAAACUCAAAGGGAAUUGACGGGGGCCCGCACAAGCGGUGGAGCAUGUGGUUUAAUUCGAUGAUACGCGAGGAACCUUACCAGGGCUUA